rnacentral:tRNA from 1 species
CCCAUAGCUCAAUUGGUUAGAGCAACGGACUCAUAAUCCGCAGGUUCGGGGUUCAAGUCCCUGUGGGC